AUGUGUCCAAAAAAUCAAGGAGGUAUGGUUUUUUGUGAUAUUCAUUGCUUUAAUCUGGCAAUGCUGGUAAAACAGGCUCGGUGUCUUCUUGAGAACUCUGAUUCUAUAUGUACCACUGUUUUGAGAGCUAAAUAUUUUCCUGGUGUUAAUUUGUUAAAUAGAAAGUUAAAAAAAGGAUCCUCGUUUACUUGGCAAAGCAGUGCAGCGGGGGUUCAUUCUGUUAAACAUGGUUAUAUAUGGCGAGUUGGGAAUGGUCGGGAUAUUAAUAUUGGGAUGAUGCUUGGAUCCCAAAUAAUGCUAAUUGAAAAGUUACCACUCCUAAAAGGGUCAUUUGUUAUCUAA
rnacentral:rRNA from 1 species